rnacentral:rRNA from 1 species
UGAACUUGAGAGUUUGAUCCUGGCUCAGAACGAACGCUGGCGGCACGCCUAACACAUGCAAGUCGAACGAAGCUCAAGAGCUUGCUCUUGAUGACUUAGUGGCAAACGGGUGAGUAACACGUGGGAAUCUACCUAUUGGUGGGGGAUAACUCCUGGAAACAGAAGCUAAUACCGCAUAAGCCCUUCGGGGGAAAGAUUUAUCGCCAAUAGAUGAGCCCGCGCUAGAUUAGGUUGUUGGUGGGGUAAUGGCCUACCAAGCCUGUGAUCUAUAGCUGGUCUGAGAGGAUGAUCAGCCACACUGGGACUGAGACACGGCCCAGACUCCU